AGAGUUUGAUCCUGGCUCAGGAUGAACGCUGGCGGCGUGCCUAACACAUGCAAGUCGAACGGACUUAUAACGAAACCUAGUGAAUUAUGAGUUAGUGGCGGACGGGUGAGUAACGCGUGGAAAACCUGCCGUAUACUGGGGGAUAACACUUAGAAAUAGGUGCUAAUACCGCAUAAGCGCACAGCUUCGCAUGAAGCAGUGCGAAAAACUCCGGUGGUAUACGAUGGUUCCGCGUCUGAUUAGCUAGUUGGUGAGGUAAAAGCCCACCAAGGCAACGAUCAGUAGCCGGCCUGAGAGGGUGAACGGCCACAUUGGGACUGAGACACGGCCCAGACUCCUACGGGAGGCAGCAGUGGGGGAUAUUGCACAAUGGGGGAAACCCUGAUGCAGCGACGCCGCGUGAGUGAAGAAGUAUUUCGGUACGUAAAGCUCUAUCAGCAGGGAAGAAAAAAAGUCCACAGGACUUUGGACGGUACCUGACUAAGAAGCCCCGGCUAACUACGUGCCAGCAGCCGCGGUAAUACGUAGGGGGCAAGCGUUAUCCGGAUUUACUGGGUGUAAAGGGAGCGUAGACGGCUGUGCAAGUCUGAAGUGAAAUGCCGGGGCUCAACCCCGGAACUGCUUUGGAAACUGUACAGCUAGAGUGCAGGAGGGGUGAGCGGAAUUCCUAGUGUAGCGGUGAAAUGCGUAGAUAUUAGGAGGAACACCGGUGGCGAAGGCGGCUCACUGGACUGUAACUGACGUUGAGGCUCGAAAGCGUGGGGAGCAAACAGGAUUAGAUACCCUGGUAGUCCACGCCCUAAACGAUGAGUACUAAGUGUUGGUGAGAAUCAGUGCUGAAGUUAACGCAUUAAGUACUCCGCCUGAGUAGUACGUACGCAAGUAUGAAACUUAAAGGAAUUGACGGGAGCCCGCACAAGCGGUGGAGCAUGUUGUUUAAUUCGACGAUACGCGAAGAACCUUACCAGGUCUUGACAUAGCACGCGAAGGCGUAGAGAUACGUUGGAGGAUAGCGUGCAUACAGGUGGUGCAUGGUUGUCGUCAGCUCGUGUCGUGAGAUGUUGGGUUAAGUCCCGCAACGAGCGCAACCCUUAUUCUUAGUAGCCAGCAGGUAAAGCUGGGCACUCUAGGGAGACUGCCAGGGAUAACCUGGAGGAAGGUGGGGAUGACGUCAAAUCAUCAUGCCCCUUAUGAUUUGGGCUACACACGUGCUACAAUGGCGUAAACAAAGGGAGGCGAAGGAGUGAUCUGGAGCGAACCCCAAAAAUAACGUCUCAGUUCGGAUUGCAGGCUGCAACCCGCCUGCAUGAAGCCGGAAUCGCUAGUAAUCGCAGAUCAGAAUGCUGCGGUGAAUGCGUUCCCGGGUCUUGCACUCACCGCCCGUCA
rnacentral:rRNA from 1 species